CCUAGGGUGGCUGCAGUGGGGAAUAUUUGGCAAUGGACGCAAGUCUGACCCAGCAACGCCGUGUGAAGGAAGAAGGCUUUCGGGUUGUAAACUUCUUUUAAGGGGGAAGAGCAGAAGACGGUACCCCUUGAAUAAGCCACGGCUAACUACGUGCCGGCAGCCGCGGUAAUACGUAGGUGGCAAGCGUUGUCCGGAUUUACUGGGGGUAAAGGGCGUGCAGCCGGGAAGACAAGUCAGAUGUGAAAUCCACGGGCUCAACCCUUGAACUGCAUUUGAAACUGUUUCCCUUGAGUGUCGGAGAGGUAAUCGGAAGUCCUGGUGUAGCGGUGAAAUGCGUAGAUAUAAGGAAGAACACCGGUGGCGAAGGCAGAUUACUGGACGAUAACUGACGGUGAGGCGCGAAAGCGUGGGGAGCGAACAGGAUUAGAUACCCGUGUAGUC
rnacentral:rRNA from 1 species